UACGUAGGGGUGCAAGCGUUUAAUCGGAAUUACUGGGCGUAAAGCGUGCGCAGGCGGUUUUGUAAGUCUGACGUGAAAUCCCCGGGCUUAACCUGGGAAUUGCGUUGGAGACUGCAAGGCUGGAGUCUGGGCAGAGGGGGGGUAGAAUUCCACGCGUAGCAGUGAAAUGCGUGAGAGAUGUGGAGGAACACCGAUGGCGCAAGGCAGCCCCCUGGGUCAAGAUUGACGC
rnacentral:rRNA from 1 species